rnacentral:rRNA from 1 species
UACAGAGGGUGCGAGCGUUGUCCGGAAUCACUGGGCGUAAAGGGCGCGUAGGCGGCUUGAUAAGCGUGCGGUGAAGCCCGGGCUCAACCCCGGGUCGGCCGUGCGAACUGUCGAGCUGGAGCACUGUAGAGGCAGGUGGAAUUCCGGGUGUAGCGGUGGAAUGCGUAGAGAUCCGGAAGAACACCGGUGGCGAAGGCGGCCUGCUGGGCAGUGGCUGACGCUGAGGCGCGACAGCGUGGGGAGCAACAGG